UACGAAGGGGGCUAGCGUUGUUCGGAAUCACUGGGCGUAAAGCGUAUGUAGGCGGAUCGUUAAGUCGGGGGUGAAAUCCCGAGGCUCAACCUCGGAACUGCCUUCGAUACUGGCGAUCUUCGAGUCCGGGAGAGGUGAGUGGAACUCCGAGUGUAGAGGUGAAAUUCGUAGAUAUUCGGAAGAACACCAGUGGCGAAGGCGGCUCACUGGCCCGGUACUGACGCUGAUGUGCGAAAGCGUGGGGAGCAAACAGG
rnacentral:rRNA from 1 species